rnacentral:rRNA from 1 species
UUCCGGUUGAUCCUGCCGGAGGUCACUGCUAUUGGGGUUCGACUAAGCCAUGCGAGUCCAAGGUUAAGCACUCGGCAGACGGCUCAAUAACACGUGGGUAAUCUACCCUCAGGACAGGGAUAACCCCGGGAAACUGGGGAUAAUACCUGAUAGGUGGAGAGAUCUGGAAUGCUCUCCGCCGAAAGCUCCGGCGCCUGAGGAUGAGCCUGCGCCCGAUUAGGUUGUUGGCGGUGUAACGGACCACCAAGCCUUAGAUCGGUACGGGCACUGAGAGGUGGAGCCCGGAGAUGGGGGCUGAGACACGGCCCCAGGCCCUACGGGGCGCAGCAGGCGCGAAAACUCCGCAAUACGCGCAAGCGUGACGGGGGAACCCCAAGUGCCUCUUUUUGGUGAGGCUUUUUCAGAGUGUAAACAGCUCUGAGAAUAAAAGCGGGGUAAGACCGGUGCCAGCCGCCGCGGUAACACCGGCCGCUCAAGUGGUGACCGCUAUUAUUGGGCCUAAAGCGUCCGUAGCCUGUUCGGUAAGUCCUUGGGUAAAUCCUGCCGUUUAACGGUAGGAAUUCUGGGGAUACUGCCGGACUCGGGGUCGAGAGAAGUCGGAGGUACUCCGGGGGUAGCGGUGAAAUGCUGUAAUCCUCGGGGGACCACCAGUGGCGAAGGCGUCCGACUAGAGCGGGCCCGACGGUGAGGGACGAAAGCCAGGGGAGCGAACGGGAUUAGAUACCCCGGUAGUCCUGGCCGUAAACGCUGUGGGCUAGGUGUUGCAUGCUCUACGAGGGCAUGCAGUGCCGUAGAGAAGUUGAUAAGCCUACCGCCUGGGAAGUACUACCGCAAGGUAGAAACUUAAAGGAAUUGGCGGGGGAGCACCACAAGGGGUGAAGUCUGCGGUUCAAUUGGAUUCAACGCCGGA